UAGGGAAUCUUCGGCAAUGGGGGCAACCCUGACCGAGCAACGCCGCGUGAGUGAAGAAGGUUUUCGGAUCGUAAAGCUCUGUUGUAAGAGAAGAACGUGUGUGAGAGUGGAAAGUUCACACAGUGACGGUAACUUACCAGAAAGGGACGGCUAACUACGUGCCAGCAGCCGCAGUAAUACGUAGGUCCCGAGCGUUGUCCGGAUUUAUUGGGCGUAAAGCGAGCGCAGGCGGUUUAAUAAGUCUGAAGUUAAAGGCAGUGGCUUAACCAUUGUUCGCUUUGGAAACUGUUAAACUUGAGUGCAGAAGAGGAGAGUGGAAUUCCAUGUGUAGCGGUGAAAUGCGUAGAUAUAUGGAGGAACACCGGUGGCGAAAGCGGCUCUCUGGUCUGUAACUGACGCUGAGGCUCGAAAGCGUGGGGAGCAAACAGG
rnacentral:rRNA from 1 species